rnacentral:misc_RNA from 1 species
AUGCGAUAAGUAAUGUGAAUUGCAGAAUUCAGUGAAUCAUCGAAUCUUUGAACGCACCUUGCGCUCCUUGGUAUUCCGAGGAGCAUGCCUGUUUGAGUGUCAGUAAAUUCUCAACCCCUUCAGCUUUUGUGGCUUUAUGGGGCUUGGAUGUGGAGGUAUUUUGCGGGCCCUUUUUGCUGGGUCGGCUCCUCUGAAAUGCAUUAGCGGAACCGUUUGCGAUCCGUCACAGGUGUGAUAAUUAUCUACGCCAGUGGGUCGCUCUCUGUCUUGUUCAGCUACCAACCGUCCGCAAGGACAACACCAAUUACUGAACGUUUGACCUCAAAUCAGGUAGGACUACCCGCUGAACUUAA